AGAGUUUGAUCCUGGCUCAGGAUGAACGCUGGCGGCGUGCCUAAUACAUGCAAGUAGAACGCUGAAGAAAGAGCUUGCUCUUUUGGAAGAGUUGCGAACGGGUGAGUAACGCGUAGGUAACCUGCCUGGUAGUGGGGGAUAACUAUUGGAAACGAUAGCUAAUACCGCAUAAUAGCUUUGAUCGCAUGAUUGAGGUUUGAAAGGUGCAAUUGCAUCACUACCAGAUGGACCUGCGUUGUAUUAGCUAGUAGGUGAGGUAAAGGCUCACCUAGGCGACGAUACAUAGCCGACCUGAGAGGGUGAACGGCCACACUGGGACUGAGACACGGCCCAGACUCCUACGGGAGGCAGCAGUAGGGAAUCUUCGGCAAUGGGGGCAACCCUGACCGAGCAACGCCGCGUGAGUGAAGAAGGUUUUCGGAUCGUAAAGCUCUGUUGUAAGAGAAGAACGUGUGUGAGAGUGGAAAGUUCACACAGUGACGGUAACUUACCAGAAAGGGACGGCUAACUACGUGCCAGCAGCCGCGGU
rnacentral:rRNA from 1 species